rnacentral:rRNA from 1 species
ACGAACGCUGGCGGCAUGCCUAACACAUGCAAGUCGAACGAACCCUUCGGGGUUAGUGGCGCACGGGUGCGUAACGCGUGGGAACCUGCCUUUAGGUUCGGAAUAACUCAGAGAAAUUUGAGCUAAUACCGGAUAAUGUCUUCGGACCAAAGAUUUAUCGCCUUUAGAUGGGCCCGCGUUAGAUUAGAUAGUUGGUGGGGUAAUGGCCUACCAAGUCGACGAUCUAUAGCUGGUCUGAGAGGAUGAUCAGCCACACUGGGACUGAGACACGGCCCAGACUCCUACGGGAGGCAGCAGUGGGGAAUAUUGGACAAUGGGCGAAAGCCUGAUCCAGCAAUGCCGCGUGAGUGAUGAAGGCCUUAGGGUUGUAAAGCUCUUUUACUAGGGAUGAUAAUGACAGUACCUAGAGAAUAAGCUCCGGCUAACUCCGUGCCAGCAGCCGCGGUAAUACGGAGGGAGCUAGCGUUGUUCGGAAUUACUGGGCGUAAAGCGCGCGUAGGCGGCUUUUUAAGUCAGGGGUGAAAUCCCGGAGCUCAACUCCGGAACUGCCCUUGAAACUGGAUGGCUAGAAUACUGGAGAGGUGAGUGGAAUUCCGAGUGUAGAGGUGAAAUUCGUAGAUAUUCGGAAGAACACCAGUGGCGAAGGCGACUCACUGGACAGUUAUUGACGCUGAGGUGCGAAGCGUGGGGAGCAAACAGGAUUAGAUACCCUG